CUAUUGUAACCGGCGCUUGCGUAAUCCAGGUGUAUUG
rnacentral:scRNA from 1 species